GACGAACGCUGGCGGCGUGCUUAACACAUGCAAGUCGAACGGAAAGGCCCUGCUUUUGUGGUGUUCUCGAGUGGCGAACGGGGGAGGAAGACGUGAGUAACCUGCCCUUGACUUUGGGAUAACUUCAGGAAACUGGGGCUAAUACCGGAUAGGAGCUCCUGCUGCAGGGUGGGGGUUGGAAAGUUUCGGCGGUUGGGGAUGGACUCGCGGCUUAUCAGCUAGCUGGUGGGGUAGGGGCUGACCAAGGCUUUGACGGGUAGCCGGCCUGAGAGGGUGACCGGCCACAUUGGGACUGAGAUACGGACCAGACUCCUACGGGAGGCAGCAGUGGGGAAUAUUGCACAAUGGGCGGAAGCCUGAUGCAGCAACGCCGGGUGCGGGAUGACGGCCUGCGGGUUGUGAACAGCUUUCGCCUGAGACGAAGCGUGAGUGACGGUAAUGGGUAAAGAAGCACCGGCUAACUACGUG
rnacentral:rRNA from 1 species